rnacentral:rRNA from 1 species
CCUACGGGGGGCUGCAGUGGGGAAUAUUGCACAAUGGGGGAAACCCUGAUGCAGCGACGCCGCGUGAGUGAAGAAGUAAUUCGUUACGUAAAGCUCUAUCAGCAGGGAAGAAACACCGACCUUACGGUCAGCAGACGGUACCUGUGUAAGAAGCCCCGGCUAACUCCGUGACAGCAGCCGCGGUAAUACGGAGGGGGCCAGCGUUAUCCGGAUUGACUGGGUGUAAAGGGAGCGUAGACGGUAUGGGAAGUCUGAAGGGAAAGCCGAGGGCUUAACCCUGGGACUGCUUUGGAAACUGUUAGACUAGAGUGCUGGAGAGGUAGGUGGAAGUCCUAGUGUAGCGGUGAAAUGCGUAGAUAUUAGGAGGAACACCAGUGGCGAAGGCGGCUUACUGGACAGUAACUGACGUUGAGGCUCGAAAGCGUGGGGAGCAAACAGGAUUAGAUACCCUGGUAGUC